UUACGAAUAAAGAAAAAAAGAAAAUCUGCGGCGGCUGUCUUCUUCCUCUUUUCCAAAGCAACAUCCCGCAUCCAAAAACUGCGUUGCCUCCGUUUCUCUUGCGAUUCUUUACUCCCAAAUUACGUCAACUCCAAGAACUCCCAUUUCUUCUUAGCGUCUCUUAGUAUCUAUUUGUGCUUCUCUGAUCUCGUGCACCAAGCUGCUGCUGCUACUACUGUAGAUGGAUGUGAAACGGACUGAGAGCCCGAUUUAUGCUCGCCAAUGGAGCAGCGAAUCAGGCAGCACUGGCGGCCCCGCAUCACCGGCAAUGUCGCCGGCGCGCGGCCAUCACGUGCGAUCCUCCUCCGUUUCUGGAACUUCCAACAUUAAGCGCACUCAGAACUUCGCUGCAAAAGCCGCGGCCCAGCGGCUAGCGCAGGUUAUGGCUUCUCAGACCGCCGAUGACGAUGAGGAUGAUCAGGAUGACCUAGGAUUUCGUUAUGGUGCUCCCCCUCCCAUUUCAUUGUCCAGGAAUGUUAAUAAUGGGAGCAGACUUGCUGUUCCUACUGGAAAAACCACCAGAUCUCCCUCCCCUGGAUUAACCCGGAACUUUUUAGAGGAAACUCCUUCAGUUCGUUCCACUUCCGCAGGAAGAACAUCGAUAUCUCAUAUUUCACUGCCAGUGGCUCCACCCAAAACAACACUGAGGACGGCAACUUCUAUGCCACCUCUAGAUCCGCCUACUAAUAAGCAAAGAGAAAAAAGAUUCUCAUCAGAUACGUUGCAUUUUAAUACUAAAGAUUCAGAAGAUCGGCAAGAAGCUUCUGCCCUUCGUGAUGAACUUGAUAUUCUACAAGAGGAGAACGAGAACAUUCUUGGGAAGCUCAGACUUGAGGAAACGAGAUGUAAAGAUGCACAGACAAGAGUUAGGGAACUUGAGAAGCAGGUUGCUGCUCUGGGAGAAGGUGUUUCUUUAGAAGCUAAACUUUUGAGCAGGAAAGAAGCGGCAUUACGUCAGAGAGAGGCUGCACUUAAAGAAGCAAAACAAUCAAAGGAUGGUGGGGAUAAUGAAAUUGAAUCCCUUAAAUCUGAAGUUCAGAAAUCCAAAGAAGAGACUGCGAAUGUUGUUCAACAACUCCAUGGAGUUGAACAUGAUGUCAAGGCUCUACGAUCUAUGACGAAAAGAAUGAUUUUGACUCAGAAAGAGAUGGAAGAAGUAGUUCUUAAAAGGUGUUGGCUUGCUCGCUACUGGGGCCUAGCAGCAAAAUAUGGCAUUUGUUUAGAUAUUGCUGUGACAAAGUACGAACACUGGUCAUCAUUAGCUCCGCUCCCAUUUGAGAUUGUCAUUUCUGCAGGGCAAAAGGCUAAGGAGGAAUUUUCUCAAAAAGUGCCAUUUACAGCACCAGGAGACCUGGACACUGAGAAAAGGAGCACACUUGUUCCUGAUAUAAGUGAUCUAACUGGAGAAGGAAAUAUUGAAAGUAUGCUAUCUGUUGAAAUGGGAUUGAAAGAACUUGCUUCAUUGAAGCAAAGGUGGAGGAGGCGAUUGUGCUUGCUUUGGCCCAACAGAGGCGUCCAAAUUCUGCACGACAAUCUCUGUCAGAUAUCAAAUCGCCAGUUGAUCCCAAGUUUAUGGAGGGUUUUGAAUUGAGCCCAGAGGAAUCUGAAGAUGUUCUUUUCAAAGAGGCAUGGCUUACAUAUUUUUGGAGAAGAGCCAAAGCUCAUGGUAUCGAAGAGGAUAUUGCAAAAGAACGACUUCAAUUCUGGAUCAGUCGCAGUGCUCACUCUCCUUCAUCUCAUGAUGCAGCUGAAGUUGAGCAAGGCCUCAUAGAGCUUAGGAAGUUGGGGAUUGAGCGUAGAAUGUGGGAAGCAUCACGUAAAGAGAAUGCUUGAAGAGCUCGACCCAAUGACAGCCUUGGAUAAUGCAUCAUUCUGAUUCCGAGGACUCGUUUUUCCAAUUAUGAAAUGUUGUGGUCCUUUUCUCCAAGACAUGGGAAUAGCAGUUGUCUUAUCUUUUUGGAUGGGGGCUGGGGAGGGGUCUCCUUUUUCAUGCUCUAUCUAUGUUGAUGUACCUUCUUUCUCCUAAUAUAAUAUAUGCAUCACAUGCACUGAAA